GAUCAUGGCUCAGGAUGAACGCUAGCUACAGGCUUAACACAUGCAAGUCGAGGGGUAGCAGGGUAGCAAUACCGCUGACGACCGGCGCACGGGUGAGUAACACGUAUCCAACCUUCCCAUAACUCAGGGAUAGCCUUUCGAAAGAAAGAUUAAUACCUGAUAGUACUUUUUCAAGGCAUCUUAGAAAAAGUUAAAGAUUUAUUGGUUAUGGAUGGGGAUGCGUUCCAUUAGAUAGUUGGUGAGGUAACGGCUCACCAAGUCUUCGAUGGAUAGGGGUUCUGAGAGGAAGGUCCCCCACAUUGGUACUGAGACACGGACCAAACUCCUACGGGAGGCAGCAGCGAGGAAUAUUGGUCAAUGGGCGAGAGCCUGAACCAGCCAAGUAGCGUGAAGGAUUAGAAGGUCCUAUGGAUUGUAAACUUCUUUUAUAGUAGAAUAAAGUGAGCCACGUGUGGUUUUUUGUAUGUAUACUAUGAAUAAGGAUCGGCUAACUCCGUGCCAGCAGCUGC
rnacentral:rRNA from 1 species